rnacentral:rRNA from 1 species
GACGAACGCUGGCGGCGUGCCUAACACAUGCAAGUCGAACGAAGCAUUUAAGUGAAUCCCUUCGGGGUGAAGCUUUAUGACUUAGUGGCGGACGGGUGAGUAACGCGUGAGUAACCUGCCUUUCAGAAGGGGAUAACAGUUGGAAACGACUGCUAAUACCGCAUAACGUAUUGAGAUCGCAUGGUCUUAAUACCAAAGCUGAGGCGCUGAAAGAUGGACUCGCGUCUGAUUAGAUAGUUGGUGGGGUAACGGCCUACCAAGUCGACGAUCAGUAGCCGGACUGAGAGGUUGAACGGCCACAUUGGGACUGAGAACGGCCCAG